rnacentral:lncRNA from 1 species
GCCAGAGGGCAGACAGUCACAGACCAUGCUUGGAUGUCUGGAUGGAGGAUGAUGCCACACACUGAGACAGGAAAGAAAAACAUGUUUUGAGGAGACGAUGAAUUCAGCUGUGUAUCAACAUGCAUUCUGAGGAACAGCAUAUGGAGAUAUCCAAUGAGCAACUCCAUUUGGAGGGCCAAUGGUUAGGAGAGCAAAUAGAGCUAGAUUUAGGAAUUAUCACCUCUAGGUGAUAAUUUUUAAUCAAUUCCCAGGCAGACAUACUAAGUAACAAAAGCCAUGAGUAGGAUAGUAGGCAAAACCAACAUUUAGAAGACAAACUGUGAACACAGCAAAAAGAUUCAAAUACAAAGAAUGUAAAUAACUAAGACAGAAGAAUUAGGAAAGGCAAGAGGCAUAGAAGUCACAGGAAGAGUUUCAAGAAGGAAGAAGAAAUAAGCAGGUAACACUAAAAUAAGUAAUGCAACGACAUCCUUGGAAUUGACAGAAUUGCUAGCAAAUUGGAAUUGCUAGCAAAUCAUGCAAAGUCAAUUUUACAAAUACAGGUGGAACCCAUUUUGCAGUGGGCAGAGGAAGAAAUACCAGCUGAAAAUAUGAUAAGUAUGAUUUCUAAUGUAGAACUGUCUUUAAAUAAUCUAAGUAUUCUGUAAAGAUGAAAAACUCUACAAUUGUUAAACGGUGAAGAAGUCCAUUAUCACAUAUAUAAAAAAACUUCCAAAAUUUUUUUCAUACCUGAUAAGUAGCUAAGAAAAGCUCAAUAUUUUUAGUCCUCAAAGACUUACAACAGAAAUAAUUACAUUUUAUGAGGUAUCAAAACAUAAAAAAUGUGUUGGUCUUUGUUCCAACAAUUCCUGUGUGCAUCUUUAUGAAGUUUGAUGAAGAAGCUAACAGCUUAGGAUUGUUUAAAAACAAGUGAUAUUCUGGGUCAAAUGAUACUUAAAUUAUAUCACAUGAAACUUAAUGAAACUUAAUGGCAUACAAAUAAAAAUAUGCUAAGGCUUGGAUAUAGUUUAUUUGUCCUCACCAAAUCUCAUGGUGACAUUUUAUCCCCACUAUGGCUGUUAGGAGAUGGGGCCUACUGGGAGGUGUUUGGGUCACGUAGACAGGUCCCUCAUGAACGGCUUGGUGUCCUUCUUGUAGCAGGAGUGAGUUCUUGCUCUCCUGAGGCUGGACUGGUUCUCAAGGGAACUGAUUAGUUCAGACAAGAGUGGGUUGUCAGAACGCCAGGACAUCCCUUGAAUUUGGUCCCCCUUUACACAUCCCCACUCCCCAUUUGACCUCUUUUGCAUUGUUUGGAUGGAGCACAAAACUCCUCCCCAGAAUUCCAGCAGAUGCUAGAGCCAUGCUUCUGGUACAGCCUACAGAACUGCGAUCUAAAUAAAGCUUUUUUCUUUGUAAACUAUCCAGCCUCAGGUAUUCCUUUAGUGUAACACAAAACAGACUAAGAAAAUAUAUUAGAAUAGCUUUGUCAAAAUUUGUCAUCCAUUGAAGAUUUUCUGGCAAUGUGGAAAUUCUAGCUUAGGCAACAUAUGGAGGUGUAUUUGGAAAGCCUGGGGCAAUAUUUACCUUCCCUGAAUUUAACAGUACAUCCAACACUUACAAAAAUUUCACCAAUACUUUGAGCAUUUGAGUAGGAAGCCUCAUUAUUGGGAUAAUACAGAAGCUGAGCAAUGUGAACUCACCUAAUAGAAACAAUUAUAUAAUCUCAAUAUUAUCAUUAUUAAACCUGAAUAUACAUCCAGUCAUUAAAUUCCAUAAUUUAAAUUAACACCUCCACUGAGAAGGUAUCCUAAUAUUUUUCAAACACAAAGUAUUCCUAAACCACAUAAAAAGCCAGUGAUACAGCUCAUGACCACUCCUGAGUUGUGAUUAAUUUUUGUCACCAACUCCAGACGACAAAAAAGAUAGGG